rnacentral:lncRNA from 1 species
GUGUUACUUACAUUUACUUUUAGAUUUCAGAAACAAACAGAUGUAUGGAUCUUUUGACUCUUUGUACUAUACUAACGUAGAGAUUUAAGACAUCGAAGAUGUAAUUCGUCAAUCCAUGUGAAACGUCAUCAUGAGUCUCCAUAAGUUUGUGUAUGUUUUACAGUGUGAAGUCAAGUCUGAAUGCAAGAGUAAAGACAGAGAAUGAGAAAUGUGAACUGAGAAUUGUAAAUACCUUUAAUAAAACAACCUUGCCUGCAUUCUCGAUAUCAAUUGAUGAUUGUUUAUAAAAGCAGUUUAUGAACUCCAAGUGCUUGAUCCUACAAGACUAGAGCCAAAACACGUUCUAAACUAGUGGAACAGAUGUAUGGAUCUUUGACUCUUUGACAUUACAUUUUUGAUACGGAAGGCAACAUGGAAAGCUCUUUAGGGGUUACCUUUGGAUAGUGUAAACGAGAGAUAUGGUGAAAAGAUCUUGUUUUCUUCUCUGUCACAAUCGUGACUUAUAUACACAUUACAUGAUAACACCAAAUCAUAAUAGAAUCUACCGAUCUCUAUCUACCCUUAUCUUUACAACAGAACUUAUCCAAUAUACAUUUACGUACGUCGGUCUAAAACCAUCUAGACCCU